rnacentral:lncRNA from 1 species
AAAGAAAUCUGAUAUCAAAGAAGAUUCUUCGAAAGGGGUAACAAGGACUUGCCUAAUCCCAAGAGUUAAGAUCCAAUUCAAAAAAAACAAAAAAAAAAAUAAAAUGAAGAAAAAAAUAAAAAAGGAAAAAAAUCAAAGUCAAAAUAAAAAAUAUGAAAGUGAUAAAAAGAAAAAGAAAAGAAAAAAAGAGAAAAGGAUAGGUCAAGGUGAAAACCCUCAAAGGGUGCUUUGACCAAAGGUGGAUUUGAGUUGAAAACCUGAAAAGG